GACCAUCAAAUAGCAAACAACUUUUCUGUGUUUUUGCGAAGAAGAAUAUCACAACAAUGUCGUCAUCAUCACAUUUUGCUAUCCUUUGCCUCUUCAUGAUUUCCCUCGUUCCUCUACAUGAAUUUGGAAACGCACAGGAUUCUGAAGCGAGCCUGCAGCGGUUAGAUCCAUCAAUGUGUAUGCGUGUAUUAUGUGCAAAAAACAAAAAUCAAAAAUGGUGUUUUUGCUGUGCCGGAGUGCCGAAGACAUGUCAUCUUAAUAAACGAGAAUGUGCGGCUGUCUGCAAGCGCCCACCUCGCCCACCUCCCCGCUAGCGCCCACCUUCCCGUAAUUAUGUGUAGUACCAUUGCAUGUCUACGUGCUACACUAUUGUGAGUAGUGUAUGCAUUUUGUUUGAAAUGGUUCUGAAUCAAUUUUAAGAUAUUUCCUAAAAUCGUAUGUGAUCGGUUUUGGCCGAAAUAGCUAAAUGCAAUUUGAAAACUUAGAAACUGUAUCAACUUUGACUAGUUGAGAACUUGAGAUGAAGAGGUAAUAUGUAUAUGGUCUGUUUGAUUCAUAUAUGUAUAUUCUCUAAGUCCUUUAUUAUUAUUAUUGUUAUUUUUUUAAGCCUUUUACUUUCUAAAAUUAUUGGAACUGUUCUCUAUUUUACUCACAAUGAAGGCAUAUAAAACAACGUGUAGUUUACAUGCAUUAUACAGUAAUUUUAAAUAUAUCAUAUAUAUAUGCUUAAUUAGACUUUUGAAGCUGGCGGUACUAUUUAAAAAAAAAAAUUGUGAUAUGUAUACAAACACCGUCUCAUAUACACGUAAUGUUUACAAACAUAACAAAAAAAAAAAACAAAAACAAAUUGUGAUAUGUAUAUAGGAAUGUGGUCACCGUCACGUAUAUAAAAAUUGCAUGAACAAUUUCUAAUAUGUAUCUAUCAUGCAUUGUGAGCUUUUCUUGAAACCGAAUGAGCCAGACAAGGAGGGCGAUUCCGGAUGCUCCGAGGCUACUAGAAGCUAAGAAACCUGUAGCCAAGACAGUUGAAGUGAUAACUGCCGGUACGAGAAUCGGACUAAGAAGUAAGAACCACAAAAACCGGCAUCAUAACGGCUAGAGCCACGGCCAUGCCGGUGAAGGCUAAACCGGUGAGGAUCAUAAGGGAUACGGCGCCUAUACCGGCGUAAAGAGGCGGUUUGUCUUUCGUGUCGAAGAAAUGCAUUUGGCAGUAGAGAAAUUUUGUUAAGACUCUGAUUCUGUAUAAAGAGUCUACGUGUACGACGCAUGUGUCUGAAGAGAGUAUUGUCCAUGCAUGUAACUGACACCUUUGUGAGUGAAGUUGCUCUACGUCACGCCAAGUUAAGUUGCUUUUGUUUUUUGUUCACAUUUAAUUUGCCUCGUUCGUUUAUUUUUCUUCUAACAGGGAUUAAU